CCCUUAGAUGUCCUGGGCCGCACGCGCGUUACACUGAUGCAUUCAACGAGCUUAUAACCUUGGCCGAGAGGCCUGGGCAAUCUUGUUAACGUGCAUCGUGAUAGGGAUAGAUUAUUGAAAUUAUUAAUCUUGAACGAGGAAUUCCUAGUAAACGCAGAUCAUCAAUCUGCAUUGAUUACGUCCCUGCCCUUUGUACACACCGCCCGUCGCACCUACCGAUUGGAUGGUCCGGUGAAGCCUCGGGAUUGUGGUUCUUGCCGCUUUAUUGUGGCGUGACCGCGAGAACUUGUCUAAACCUUAUCAUCUAGAGAAAGGUGAAGUCGUAACA
rnacentral:rRNA from 1 species